rnacentral:lncRNA from 1 species
GAUGUGAUGUAACAAGAGGAGCAACAAAAGAAGAAUCCCAAGAUAAUCACGUAAUUAUGUUAGGAGAGAUUCUCAGUUUGAUCUAAUCCUGUCUAAACAGGCUGAAAGAAGUUAGUCACUCAGAAUUAUAUAAAAGGCUCCAUGGAGGCUUGCAAUGAUAAACAACAGACCCUGGAGUUUGGGGACAACACCAAGGUACUGCCAUACUUGAGGAAGAGAUGGCUUUUCUCAG